UACGGGGGGGGCAAGCGUUGUUCGGAAUUACUGGGCGUAAAGGGCUCGUAGGCGGCCGACUAAGUCAGACGUGAAAUCCCUCGGCUUAACCGGGGAACUGCGUCUGAUACUGGAUGGCUUGAAUCCGGGAGAGGGAUGCGGAAUUCCAGGUGUAGCGGUGAAAUGCGUAGAUAUCUGGAGGAACACCGGUGGCGAAGGCGGCAUCCUGGACCGGCAUUGACGCUGAGGAGCGAAAGCCAGGGGAGCAAACGGG
rnacentral:rRNA from 1 species